AGCUUUUAAGUUCUAGACGUAUGUCUUGAAAACAUAAAGAGAAGGUUAAUCUUCAAAAGCUU
rnacentral:tRNA from 1 species